rnacentral:rRNA from 1 species
UACGGAGGGUGCAAGCGUUAUCCGGAUUCACUGGGUUUAAAGGGUGCGUAGGCGGGUAUGUAAGUCAGUGGUGAAAUCUCGAAGCUUAACUUCGAAACUGCCAUUGAUACUAUAUAUCUUGAAUAUUGUGGAGGUUUGCGGAAUAUGUCAUGUAGCGGUGAAAUGCUUAGAUAUGACAUAGAACACCUAUUGCGAAGGCAGCAGGCUACACAUAUAUUGACGCUGAGGCACGAAAGCGUGGUGAUCAAACAGG